rnacentral:rRNA from 1 species
UUUAUGGAGAGUUUGAUCCUGGCUCAGGAUGAACGCUGGCGGCGUGCCUAAUACAUGCAAGUCGAGCGAACGGACGAGAAGCUUGCUUCUCUGAUGUUAGCGGCGGACGGGUGAGUAACACGUGGAUAACCUACCUAUAAGACUGGGAUAACUUCGGGAAACCGUAGCUAAUACCGGAUAAUAUUUUGAACCGCAUGGUUCAAAAGUGAAAGACGGUCUUGCUGUCACUUAUAGAUGGAUCCGCGCUGCAUUAGCUAGUUGGUAAGGUAACGGCUUACCAAGGCAACGAUGCAUAGCCGACCUGAGAGGGUGAUCGGCCACACUGGAACUGAGACACGGUCCAGACUCCUACGGGAGGCAGCAGUAGGGAAUCUUCCGCAAUGGGCGAAAGCCUGACGGAGCAACGCCGCGUGAGUGAUGAAGGUCUUCGGAUCGUAAAACUCUGUUAUUAGGGAAGAACAUAUGUGUAAGUAACUGUGCACAUCUUGACGGUACCUAAUCAGAAAGCCACGGCUAACUAUGUGCCAGCAGCCGCGGUAAUACGUAGGUGGCAAGCGUUAUCCGGAAUUAUUGGGCGUAAAGCGCGCGUAGGCGGUUUUUUAAGUCUGAUGUGAAAGCCCACGGCUCAACCGUGGAGGGUCAUUGGAAACUGGAAAACUUGAGUGCAGAAGAGGAAAGUGGAAUUCCAUGUGUAGCGGUGAAAUGCGCAGAGAUAUGGAGGAACACCAGUGGCGAAGGCGACUUUCUGGUCUGUAACUGACGCUGAUGUGCGAAAGCGUGGGGAUCAAACAGGAUUAGAUACCCUGGUAGUCCACGCCGUAAACGAUGAGUGCUAAGUGUUAGGGGGUUUCCGCCCCUUAGUGCUGCAGCUAACGCAUUAAGCACUCCGCCUGGGGAGUACGACCGCAAGGUUGAAACUCAAAGGAAUUGACGGGGACCCGCACAAGCGGUGGAGCAUGUGGUUUAAUUCGAAGCAACGCGAAGAACCUUACCAAAUCUUGACAUCCUUUGACAACUCUAGAGAUAGAGCCUUCCCCUUCGGGGGACAAAGUGACAGGUGGUGCAUGGUUGUCGUCAGCUCGUGUCGUGAGAUGUUGGGUUAAGUCCCGCAACGAGCGCAACCCUUAAGCUUAGUUGCCAUCAUUAAGUUGGGCACUCUAAGUUGACUGCCGGUGACAAACCGGAGGAAGGUGGGGAUGACGUCAAAUCAUCAUGCCCCUUAUGAUUUGGGCUACACACGUGCUACAAUGGACAAUACAAAGGGCAGCGAAACCGCGAGGUCAAGCAAAUCCCAUAAAGUUGUUCUCAGUUCGGAUUGUAGUCUGCAACUCGACUACAUGAAGCUGGAAUCGCUAGUAAUCGUAGAUCAGCAUGCUACGGUGAAUACGUUCCCGGGUCUUGUACACACCGCCCGUCACACCACGAGAGUUUGUAACACCCGAAGCCGGUGGAGUAACCUUUUAGGAGCUAGCCGUCGAAGGUGGGACAAAUGAUUGGGGUGAAGUCGUAACAAGGUAGCCGUAUCGGAAGGUGCGGCUGGAUCACCUCCUUUCU